CUGACUUAAUUAUUCAAUCUAGGGUUUACCCAAGAUAAAGUUUCUUCUCUUUCUUCAAAGAAAGAAAAAGAAAAUAUUUUUAGACCAGUCUUCGUCUCCUAACUGUAGGAUGGACGGUAUCUCUGUUUCCUUAAGCAUGGUUGCUUAGAAACGCAGAGGCCUUCCGAUGCCUGCGCGAAGCCAAGGCCCCGUUAGCUUCGGUUCGUGUUUGUGUUAGGGAUUACCGCAGCUGUUAUCUGCAAGUUUUGCAAGAGCUCAGUGGGCAGGGAGCUGGGUGUUCAAGUAAUUCCUAAUGAGUCCGCAUUGUUAAGAGGAGGGAAGCCCCGCAGGAGCUGCCCAGAGGACACCUCGUGAAGGAGACGCCUGCCCACGGAGGCCCGCCUAGAUUCCUGACCCACAGAAGCAGGGCGGACGCAAGGACCAGUGUUGGGAGUUGCUCAAUUCUGGGGUACUUGGUCACACAGCGGUGGCUCAGACCACACUUAUCAGGAAGAGCCAAAGCUGGAAAGAUUCACGGGUUCAUCGGCCAAGGCUGAAUCUCAGCAAGCUAAACUCAGGAGGUGUCUAGGCGCCCAGAGAAGAGGGUGGAAAGGUGCGCCUCUGUCAGAUACGUGCAUGGGAAUGUGUUCUCCCAGUUGCUGGCUUGCCUAUUAGGGAGGUCUUCCGCUUAACACAAGCACCUCACUGGAAUGACCCAGGACUUCGGAAACUGUAUCCUGUCAUGUACGUUACAGUGACGAUAAAAUGAAUACUUACAAACCGCCCCCAAAGUAGAACAUGAGCCCUGCGUUGGGCAGCAUGCCCUUCCUUAUGGGAACUGCUCCCUCAGAGAGAACUACUGUGACCAUUUUCAUGCUUUAAAAAAGUGUUAACCCGUAUGAAUCCAUCUCUAAACAACAUGUUGCUCAGUUUUGCUUGUUUUUGAGAUUUAUAAAAACAGUGUCUUAUAGUGUGGUGUUUUGUUUUGGCCUUCUGAGGCUUUCUUUCACUCCCUUUUUCUUCUAGGAUCCAUCUUUAUUGCUGCAGAUGGGUAUAGGUCCAUUCCCACACUAUAACAUUCUAGUAUGUGGAUUUUUCCCAUUUGUGCAUUAGCACGUCCACGGAAAUAGGGGAUGUUCUCAGUAUUCUUUUUUUAAUUUCAAAGAAUGCAGUUGUGAUUCAGCUUGCUAAUAUGUCCUUAUUCAUCUGUGCAAGAGUUCCUCUAAAGUAUAACUUUAGGAGUGGAAAACCCUGCUCAUGGGAUGGGUAUAUACUGGCUUUUACAAAAUACUGAAUUUUCCACAGUGGUUUUCCAAAUGUGUCUGAAUGUUUUC
rnacentral:lncRNA from 1 species